rnacentral:lncRNA from 1 species
CUUGUAUGUAUUUUAUAUCUUUAAUUUUUAUUUUGUAGCAUUUUUAUGGAUGUCUUUUUUAAUUGUAUACUAACAAAAAAUAAAUUAAAUGAAUCAAAAAUUAUAAAUACUUUCAAAUCAUCUUCACUAAUCCCCACCAUGGAACAAAAGGAGUGAGAAAGAAAAUAAAAGGCAUUUCAGAAAACAACACAUUAAUGGAAUCUUGACAGUAUACUGGUAGUCCUUCCAUACUGCAGAGAAGGGAGAGAAGAGCGGAGGGGACAGAGAAACCAAAUUCCCACCCUAACCAUCACCUCAACAGCAAGAUCCCAGAGGAUGAUUUUAUCCUUUUGAGGAUGAAUCAGCAUGAUUGAACAUGACUUUUACUUGGAGAACGUAAAUGAGACAUCCAUUCCGCCCCCUCCAAGUCAGCCCGGCCCGCUAACGUCGGAUUCCAUCCUUAAUGCCUCUCUCCUACUGACUCAUCCUAGCCAGCCCGCAGUACUUCUGUCCGGGCUCGCAUUUCGGCUGCCUUCUCUUCUCUGCUACUGCCAUCCCCUGGUCAUUGCACCGCCCGACUCAGAAGGGGCAGAUGAGAACAAUGUUCCAGUGGCCAUAAAGGAGACUCUGUGGAGUACUGAGAGCCGGGUUAGAGAGCAAAGAAGCCAAGGCCAUGGGCUUCAUCAUGAGCCGUCACCACUUGGGCUUGCCGCUGUACUUGGAUGGUCCUGGAAGAGAACUCUGAUCAUUGAUAAAUGGAAAUCUUUGGAAAUUUGUGGCAUGCUGUGAAGUUGCAGAUGUAUGUAUGUGAAAAAAAUUUUAAGCUAUAAAUGCAUAAAUACUAUAUAUUAUUCAUCUUUCUUAUCAUUCACUACCAUAUUAAAGUUAUAUUUUGUUAAAAGUUUCAGUACAUUGAAGAACUGUGGGCUAUGCACUCUGUGUCGCUCCACCAUCCAGACUCAGUCACAUAAUUUUCUCCUGUAAUGAUCAUUGUAUCUUGUGCUUUUCAUGGGAGAAGGAGAUCCAUGAAGCUUUUGCUACAGCUACAUGUUGUGGCUGUGAAGACUGAAUAGUGGGCAAAAGACCUCUCUCGUGCAGAAACUGCAACUAUUUUAUGGGUGUAAUGUGUUGUUUUAUUUGUUUUUUUUUUGGUUUAUGUAUCAGAAUUAUUUAAAAUAAAGGUUUGGGUUUGAGUCUAGUUAUUAAUGGU